rnacentral:misc_RNA from 1 species
UUGGCUGUUGCACUUGAGGGGCACUUCCCAUUGGUAAUGCUGCCAUUGGCAUUGGCAUUUGAAGUGAUGUUGGGGUGAGACCUUGUGACUGCAUCUGUGGAUUUGGGCCACCAAACUGCACAGACACAGGUGGCUGGUGAAAUGGCAUUUGCAUGGAAGGCAUAGGAAGGGGAAGAACAGACGGCUUUUGUGUCUGGCUCACAGGCUGUGCAGUUGAGACUUGGACAUCCUUCUUGGCUUUGGGCAUUGGAUGAGCCUCCCCAGCACUAGAAUGGUCAACACCACCUACAUCCUUCCUUGGUAAUUGUUGCUUAGGAGCAGGAGUUGGCAAUGGAGGAACAGAUCUAAAUGUAUCAUGG